AGAGGGUGCGAGCGUUAAUCGGAUUUACUGGGCGUAAAGCGUGCGUAGGCGGCUUAUUAAGUCGGAUGUGAAAUCCCCGAGCUUAACUUGGGAAUUGCAUUCGAUACUGGUGAGCUAGAGUAUGGGAGAGGAUGGUAGAAUUCCAGGUGUAGCGGUGAAAUGCGUAGAGAUCUGGAGGAAUACCGAUGGCGAAGGCAGCCAUCUGGCCUAAUACUGACGCUGAGGUACGAAAGCAUGGGGAGCAAACAGGAUUAGAUACCCUGGUAGUCCAUGCCGUAAACGAUGUCUACUAGCCGUUGGGGCCUUUGAGGCUUUAGUGGCGCAGCUAACGCGAUAAGUAGACCGCCUGGGGAGUACGGUCGCAAGACUAAAACUCAAAUGAAUUGACGGGGGCCCGCACAAGCGGUGGAGCAUGUGGUUUAAUUCGAUGCAACGCGAAGAACCUUACCUGGCCUUGACAUACUAGAAACUUUCCAGAGAUGGAUUGGUGCCUUCGGGAAUCUAGAUACAGGUGCUGCAUGGCUGUCGUCAGCUCGUGUCGUGAGAUGUUGGGUUAAGUCCCGCAACGAGCGCAACCCUUUUCCUUACUUGCCAGCAUUUCGGAUGGGAACUUUAAGGAUACUGCCAGUGACAAACUGGAGGAAGGCGGGGACGACGUCAAGUCAUCAUGGCCCUUACGGCCAGGGCUACACACGUGCUACAAUGGUCGGUACAAAGGGUUGCUACACAGCGAUGUGAUGCUAAUCUCAAAAAGCCGAUCGUAGUCCGGAUUGGAGUCUGCAACUCGACUCCAUGAAGUC
rnacentral:rRNA from 1 species